UUUGUUUUACUUCAAGGCCCCAUAAACUAGCACUUCCUCUCACUGGGACUGCAAACUCCUCUCUUCCAGAUAACAAGAAGACAUCUUCUUUCAUUAACAAAAGGUUCACAAGAUUCAUGCUCAGUCUACUUCCAGCUGCAUGAAGUAACCAAGGCGUUCUUAUCCUGGUUCUCCUGCUUCUCUCCAUGGUCUGAUCUCUCCCUCUAUUAGAGUGUUAUUAAAGGAUGAAAUUGUGCAGUGAAUAUCUGUUGAGUUUUCCUGACUCUCCUCCAUUUCCCCUUACUUUGGAGAAUCACACUGUAUCCCAAGGAGCUUGGAUAAAGCUGACUCCAUCCCUGGCUUCAAGGGAAAUUUCUUCAAUUCACCCUUGAGGAGUAGAGAUCUGAUAAGAAAAGGAAUGUCUUAUUUUGUCUCCCAGUCUGGAGUGCAGUAGUUCCAUCUCAGCUCACUACAACAUCUACCUCCUGGGUUCAAGAGAUUCUCUGGCCUCAGCCUCCCAAGUAGCUGGGAUUAAAAGUACCCACCACAACACCCCGCUAAUUUUUGUAUUUUUAAUUGAGACGGGGUUUCACCAUGUUAGCCAUGCUAGUCUUGAACUCCCAACCUCAGGUAUCUGCCUGCCUCAGCCUCUGAAAGUGCUGGGAUUACAGGCAUGAGCCACUGCACCUGGCCACUAGGACAUAACUUAAGGUCAGUGACCCCAUAGUAUCUAAUCCUGUGUCCUGAGCGCAGUGUAGUACCUGGACCCUGGUGAGUAGCAACAAUUACUUAUCUAAAUGAAUGAAUGAGGCCAGCUUGUUCUUGGAAAAACUGUAUGUCUAUUAUGCUGAAUUAUAGCUCUGUAUUAUUUUG
rnacentral:lncRNA from 1 species